rnacentral:rRNA from 1 species
AAAGAGUUCGUAGGUGGUUAAAAAAGUUGGUGGUGAAAUCCCAGAGCUUAACUCUGGAACUGCCAUCAAAACUUUUUAGCUAGAGUAUGAUAGAGGAAAGCAGAAUUUCUAGUGUAGAGGUGAAAUUCGUAGAUAUUAGAAAGAAUACCGAUUGCGAAGGCAGCUUUCUGGAUCAUUACUGACACUGAGGAACGAAAGCAUGGGUAGCGAAGAGGAUUAGAUACCCUCGUAGUCCAUGCCGUAAACGAUGUGUGUUAGAUGUUGGAAAUUUAUUUUCAGUGUCGCAGCGAAAGCAAUAAACACACCGCCUGGGGAGUACGACCGCAAGGUUAAAACUCAAAUGAAUUGACGGGGACCCGCACAAGUAGUGGAGCAUGUGGUUUAAUUCGAAGAUACGCGCAGAACCUUACCAACACUUGACAUGUUCGUCGCGACUUUAAGAGAUUAAAGUUUUCGGUUCGGCCGGACGAAACACAGGUGCUGCAUGGCUGUCGUCAGCUCGUGUCGUGAGAUGUUGGGUUAAGUCCCGCAACGAGCGCAACCCUCACUUUUAGUUGCCAUCAUUUAGUUGGGCACUCUGAAAGAACUGCCAGUGAUAAGCUGGAGGAAGGUGGGGAUGACGUCAAGUCCUCAUGGCCCUUAUGUGUUGGGCUACACACGUGCUACAAUGGUAUCUACAACAGGAAGCAAAACAGCGAUGUUAAGCAAAUCCCGAAAAGAUACCUCAGUUCGGAUUGCACUCUGCAACUCGAGUGCAUGAAGCUGGAAUUACUAGUAAUCGUGGAUCAGCGUGCCACGGUGAAUACGUUCCCGGGUCUUGUACACACCGCCCGUCACACCAUGGGAGUUGGUUCUACCUUAAGGCAAGGUUCAAA